rnacentral:ncRNA from 1 species
UUCUCAUCAAGAGAGGCAGAGGGACUGGCCCGAUGAAGCCUCGGCAACCUUCAGGUUCAUUUAUCUGAAAAGGUGCCAACUCCUGCGCUGGAUUUUAAAAAUCCAAGCGGUAGAUGAGAG